CUGAGCUGGAACCUGCAGCAAGUCUUUGACGGUCUGCGGAUUACAGUGUGAUUAUGUUGUACUUCAUGGCUAAUCCACACUUAUAAGAAUCAUCUGCAUGGAGGCAGUGAUGAGAACUAUGAUCCCUUUCUACCUGCGACUGUUUCUACACAUGUUCACUCCAUAUCGGGUUGAAUCUACAAAUGUUUUUGAUCUUCUCCUCUAAUAAUCUUUGUGUUCUUGAAGAUAAGACUUCUGCUUUGGUUGGUCAAGUGACUAAGAGUACCUGAUGCUAACUCAGUGCUCAAAAGUUAAUUGAUGAAAAAAAAGAGGAUUGUGGAAAAUCCUCAACUAGAAAAGCCAAAGUGCAGAAACUUCAGUGGGCUGUUCUUCAAACAAUUGGAAGAUAAGAACAUUGAGAACCAUGCAGAUGAUGGAGGCCUUACAUCUGAUAUACAGAGAAAGUUUAAAGACUCUGUC